rnacentral:pre_miRNA from 1 species
UUAUUAUUUCCUCCAUCCCAAAAUUCUUGUCUUAGAUUUGUUUAGAUAUGAAUGUAUCUAGUCAUGUUUUAGUAUUUUGAUUCAUUCGUUUCUGGACAAACCUAAGACAAAAUUUUGAAACGGAGGAAGUACUUG